rnacentral:rRNA from 1 species
UGGGGAAUUUUGGACAAUGGGCGCAAGCCUGAUCCAGCCAUGCCGCGUGCGGGAAGAAGGCCUUCGGGUUGUAAACCGCUUUUGUCAGGGAAGAAAUCUUCUGAGUUAAUACCUCGGGAGGAUGACGGUACCUGAAGAAUAAGCACCGGCUAACUACGUGCAGCAGCCGCGGUAAUACGUAGGGUGCAAGCGUUAAUCGGAAUUACUGGGCGUAAAGCGUGCGCAGGCGGUUUUGUAAGACAGAGGUGAAAUCCCCGGGCUCAACCUGGGAACUGCCUUUGUGACUGCAAGGCUUGAGUGCGGCAGAGCNGGUAUGGAUCCGCGUGUAGCAGUGAAAUGCGUAGAUAUGCGGAGGAACACCGAUGGCGAAGGCAAU